ACAGGGAAAGCCGAAAACCUGAAACUCAGAGUAGGCA
rfam:Chryseobacterium gambrini strain DSM 18014 genome assembly, contig: Ga0111674_108